CAAUCAUCGCCUUGGAAGCUUCAUCAAGAUGCUAGUUUGCAUUUCUGAAGAGGGAAGAAGAAAUCAAUAUGCAAAUUCAAUUCCAUGGUUUUGGAAGUCCCAUUGAGAACACGAUUCAUUUGCGCCGGCAUAAUGCUCUGACCGAGAAAGAAUUGAAGAACGUACCCCGGAAGAGAGAGCCCAGAGAAUUGCCAAAGCUGUCCGCAAACAGUCAACAGAAGUGAAGGAAAAUUGGGAGCAAUUGAAAACCCGUGCAAGCAACUGGCAGAAACAGGUGGAAAAGGCGUUGGAGAAACUUCAAGAACUGCAGAAAGCUCUGGAUGAUCUUGAGGCUCAUGUGAUAACAGCUGAGGGGGUCCACACUGAUUGGCAACCUGUGGGUGACCUGCUUAUUGACUCAUUGCAGGAUCACAUUGAUAAAACCACAGGUAAGGACGAUCUGCAAAAUCUGAGAUUGGGUUUUGAAAGACAGCAGCCUUUGUUUAGGAGAGCUAAUGGGAACUGCAGAUGCUGGAGAAUGCGAGAUAACACCGUGUGGAACUGGACGAAGACAGCAGGCCAAGCAUCAUCUUAGGAGCACAAAAGCUGAUGUUUCGGGCCGAGAACCACCUUCAGAAAAUGGGGAGGGGGUGCGGGUUCUGGAUUAAUUCGGGAGAGAGGGGGAGGCGGAUGGAAGAUGGAUGGAGGAGAAGCAGCUUUCCUGGAGCAAGUCUGUUUUCCUUCGGAUGAGACGACUUUCAGACAUACUCCCUUUAUUAUGAGAUUUAAUUGCGGCAAAAUGAGGAGGAUUUUUAUUCACUGAGACACACAUGACCAUAUGUUUAAAGCAUUGGCAAAAGAGUUCUGUUCAGACUGUCAUGUUAUCUGGUGUUUGUACCAGGCUUUCUGAUGAAAUGCAAGUGAUUAAGGAUGCUAAUGAUGCCACAUGUUAUUACAAGAGGAAAUGAACAUACAAGUAAGGAUUUUAUGCCACAUUUAUACACAGCAUGGACCACGCAGCAUGGAUGCAGUGACGGAGUGAAAUGGGAUGCCGUGACGGAGUGAAAUGGGAUGCCGUGACGGAGUGAAAUGGGAUGCCGUGACAGAGUGAAAUGGGAUGCUCACAGCGAAUUGCCCCCUCCAUCCUGACCCUCUCGCAGCGACCUGACCCGCUCACACUGACUCGCCCCUGCAGUCCUGACCCGCUCACAGUGACUAGCCCCUGCAGUCCUGACCAGCUCACAGCGACUUCUCUCUGCAGUCCUGACCCACUCACAGCGACCUACCCCUCCGUGCUGACCCGCUCAGAGUGAGUUGCCCCUGCAGUCCUGACCCCCCUCACAGUGACCUGCCCCCUCACUCCUGACCCGCUCUGCAUUGAGGAAACCAAGCGGAGGCUUGGGGACCGCUUUGCAGAACACCUCCGCUCGGUUCGCAACAAACAACUGCACCUCCCAGUCGCGAACCAUUUUAACUCCCCCUCCCAUUCCUUAGACGACAUGUCCAUCAUGGGCCUCCUGCAGUGCCACAAUCAGGCCACCCGAAGGUUGCAAGGACAGCAACUCCUCAUCCGCUUGGGAACCCUGCAACCCAAUGGUAUCAAUGUGGACUUCACAAGCUUCAAAAUCUCCCCCUCCCCAACUGCAUCCCAAAACCAGCCCAGUUCUUCCCCUCCCGCUACUGCAUCACAAAACCAGCCCAGCCUGUCUCCGCCUCCCUAACCUGUUGUUCCUCUCACCCAUCCCUUCCUCCCACCUCAAGCCACACCUCCAUUUCCGACCGACCACCUCAUCCUGCCUCCUUGACUUGUCCGUCUUCCCUGGACUGACCUAUCCCCUCCCUCCCUCCUCACCUGUACUCUCCUCUCUACCUAUCUUGUUUUCUCUCCAUCUUCGGUCCGCAUCCCCUCCUCUCCCUAUUUAUUCCACUUCCCUCUCCCAUCCCCCUCUCUGAUGAAGGGUCUAGGCCUGAAAUGUCAGCUUUUGUGCUCCUGAGAUGCUGCUUGGCCUGCUGUGUUCAUCCAGCUCCACGCUUUGUUAUUUUGGAUUCUCCAGCAUUUGCCAUUAUCAGUGGCCUUUCCUCUUUGUCAAAGUUUGUGCAAAAGCAACACGAUAUGGGGCGGCACGGUGGCUCAGUGAUUAGCACUGCAGCUUCACAGCACUGGGGACUCAGGCUCAAUUCCAGCCUCAGGCAACUGUUUGUGUGGAAUUUGCACCUUGACCCUGUGUCUGCGUGGGUUUCUUCCAGGUGCUCCGGUCUCCUCCCACAGUCCAAAGAGGUGCACGCUAGGUGGAUUGGCCAUGCUAAAUUGCCCAUAGUGUUCAGGGGCGUGGGUCUGGGUGGGAUGCUCCAAGGUUUGGUGUGCACUUGUUGGGCCAAAGGGCCUGUUUCCACACUGUAGGGAAUCUAAACAAUCCUGUUCCCACAUCUCCAUGUUAUAACCCUGCUGAGCACUGCACACAGAGAUGUUUGAUAACAAAAGGAUAACAAUAAUAUUCAAACCCAGUGCUGGAGAUGUAUUUUAAAUACACUGAGGCCAGUGUCGAUCUCCAAUUCAACUUUUAUUUACAAAUGAACUGUCUUCAACUUUAGCACUGCCUCAUUCAGAGAUAGUUGCCAGGGUGUCAGCAUCUCUGACCCUCACACGACUUAGCUGUCAGUCAGGGCUCCCUGAUUUGGGCUGUUAAUGUGGACCAGUCAGGCAACUCAUAUUCUGUGAGGUUCAACUGGCCGACCUGGUCACAAACCAGUGCGGUGUGUUCAUCGAAAAUCAAACAUGUCCUAGAAAGGUACCAUUACAUACCAGUGCAAAGGAAGGCAUGAGGCUAAACUGGGGAGGGAAGGGAACUGCUUAUUGGGGGUGGCUCAGAGAGUGGAAGAAAAUCGAAUGGGAAGAAGACCAUUUGAGACUGAGGGAGAGAGAUGUAAUUGCCUGAAUGAGGCAUUCCAAUUGCGAAAUGGAUUUUUGUGUGUACAGCCUGUUCAGUUUCCCCGAUCUUAAUCUGUCCUCCUCUUUAAAUCAUUCGUAUCUGAAAUUUCUGUAUCAUUUCCAAAUGCUCUGUCUCUAAUGUUAUGCUGUUGGAAUUGUUUGAACUGCAGAGAUAUCAUUUAUUUGCACAAAUGUGUUCAGUGAAAUGAGUUGCAUGCUAUAUAUGUAUUAUUCUUCCUGAUUCUAUUAUACGCAUACAAAUUAAAGUUAGUUCCACUUUUGAACAACAAA